UACGUAGGGGGCUAGCGUUGUCCGGAAUCAUUGGGCGUAAGCGCGUGUAGGCGGCCCGGUAAGUCCGCUGUGAAAGCCUGUGGCUCAACCACAGAAUUGCCUUCGAUACUGGUUGGCUUGAGACCGGAAGAGGACAGCGGAACUGCGAGUGUAGAGGUGAAAUUCGUAGAUAUUCGCAAGAACACCAGUGGCGAAGGCGGCUGUCUGGUCCGGUUCUGACGCUGAGGCGCGAAAGCGUGGGGAGCAACAGG
rnacentral:rRNA from 1 species